GUGGGGAAUCUUGCGCAAUGGGCGAAAGCCUGACGCAGCCACGCCGCGUGAAUGAUGAAGGUCUUAGGAUUGUAAAAUUCUUUCACCGGGGACGAUAAUGACGGUACCCGGAGAAGAAGCUCCGGCUAACUUCGUGCCAGCAGCCGCGGUAAUACGAAGGGGGCUAGCGUUGCUCGGAAUUACUGGGCGUAAAGGGCGCGUAGGCGGACAGCUUAGUCAGAGGUGAAAGCCCAGGGCUCAACCUUGGAAUUGCCUUUGAUACUGGCUGUCUUGAGUUUGGGAGAGGUGAGUGGAACUCCGAGUGUAGAGGUGAAAUUCGUAGAUAUUCGGAAGAACACCAGUGGCGAAGGCGACUCACUGGCCCAAUACUGACGCUGAGGCGCGAAAGCGUGGGGAGCAAACAGGAUUAGAUACCCCUGUAGUCC
rnacentral:rRNA from 1 species